rnacentral:rRNA from 1 species
UACGUAGGGUGCGAGCGUUAAUCGGAAUUACUGGGCGUAAAGCGUGCGCAGGCGGUUUUGUAAGUCAGAUGUGAAAUCCCCGGGCUCAACCUGGGAACUGCAUUUGUGACUGUAGAGCUGGAGUACGGUAGAGGGGGAUGGAAUUCCGCGUGUAGCAGUGAAAUGCGUAGAUAUGCGGAGGAACACCGAUGGCGAAGGCAAUCCCCUGGACCUGUACUGACGCUCAUGCACGAAAGCGUGGGGAGCAAACAGG